rnacentral:rRNA from 1 species
AGGAUUCCCCUAGUAAUGGCGAAUGAAGCGGGAACAGCUCAAAUUUGAAAUCUGCGUCGCUUGCGACGCCGAAUUGUAGUUUCGAGAAGCAUUUUCUAGGCGGGCCCGGGGCCGUCCAAGUUGCUUGGAACAGCACGUCAUAGAGGGUGACAACCCCGUCUGUGGCGGAACCGGCCGCUCACGAUGUGCUUUCGACGAGUCGGGUUGUUUGGGAAUGCAGCCCAAAAUGGGUGGUAAACUCCAUCUAAAGCUAAAUAUUGGCACGAGACCGAUAGCGAACAAGUACCGUGAGGGAAAGAUGAAAAGCACUUUGAAAAGAGAGUUAAAAAGUACGUGAAACCGUUGAAAGGGAAACGGAUGGGGUUAGCAAUGCGCCGUGCGAGAUUCAGCCGGGUGUCGUGUCGGGCGGGCGGUUUGCGGAUCUGAAUGGACUGCGGCCGUCCGGUUCGAUGCCUCCACCGUCGCACUUCUCGCCGGUGCGCGCCAACGUCGGUUGGCUCUGGGUCUCAAAGGCGCCAGCAAGGUAGGUUCAGGCCUUCGGGUCAGAAUUGUUAUAGGCUGGCGUCGUAUGGCCCGGGGGCGACCGAGGUGCCGCGGCGUAUGCCUCCUUCGGGUUGGCUAGGGUCCCGUCUUGCUCGCUGGUAGUCGACUGUGGUGGACUGCGUGCAGUGCUUCGCGACUGCUGCCGGUGGCCGGGAUGGUGACUUCGUACUAUGCGCCCAGGACGUUGGCGGUCACAUGGCCUCAUUCGACCCGUCUUGAAACACGGACCAAGGAGUCUAACAUGUGCGCGAGUCUUUGAGUGAAGGAAACUCGCAGGCGCAAUGAAAGUGAAGGCGGCCUAGCCGUCGAGGUGAGAGCUCGUCCCUCGGGGCGAGUGCAUCAUCGACCGACCUAUUCUGCUCUCAGGAAGGUUUGAGUAAGAGCGCAUCUGUUGGGACCCGAAAGAUGGUGAACUAUGCCUGAACAGGGUGAAGCCAGAGGAAACUCUGGUGGAGGCUCGUAGCGAUUCUGACGUGCAAAUCGAUCGUCAAAUUUGGGUAUAGGGGCGAAAGACUAAUCGAACCAUCUAGUAGCUGGUUCCCUCCGAAGUUUCCCUCAGGAUAGCUGGAACUUAUGGCAGUUUUAUCAGGUAAAGCGAAUGAUUAGAGGUCUUGGGAUUAAAACAAUCUUAACCUAUUCUCAAACUUUAAAUUGGUAAGAAGUCCGACUUGCUUAAUUGAAGCCGGACGUUCGAAUGCGAGUUCCUAGUGGGCCAUUUUUGGUAAGCAGAACUGGCGAUGCGGGAUGAACCGAACGCGCGGUUAAGGUGCCGAAGUCGACGCUCAUCAGACACCACAAAAGGUGUUGGUUGCUACAGACAGCAGGACGGUGGCCAUGGAAGUCGGAAUCCGCUAAGGAGUGUGUAACAACUCACCUGCCGAAGCAACUA